rnacentral:rRNA from 1 species
AUUGAACGCUGGCGGCAUGCCUUACACAUGCAAGUCGAACGGUAACAGGUCUUCGGAUGCUGACGAGUGGCGAACGGGUGAGUAAUACAUCGGAACGUGCCCGAUCGUGGGGGGAUAACGCAGCGAAAGCUGUGCUAAUACCGCAUACGAUCUACGGAUGAAAGCGGGGGAUCGCAAGACCUCGCGCGGACGGAGCGGCCGAUGGCAGAUUAGGUAGUUGGUGGGAUAAAAGCUUACCAAGCCGACGAUCUGUAGCUGGUCUGAGAGGACGACCAGCCACACUGGGACUGAGACACGGCCCAGACUCCUACGGGAGGCAGCAGUGGGGAAUUUUGGACAAUGGGCGCAAGCCUGAUCCAGCCAUGCCGCGUGAGUGAAGAAGGCCUUCGGGUUGUAAAGCUCUUUCGGUGGGGAAGGAAAUGGCACGAGCGAAUAACUGGUGUCGAUGACGGUACCCGAAAGAAGAAGCACCGGCUAACUACGUGCCAGCACGG